CCAUAAGUUAAAACAUAAGUGAAAACCGUACUCCAAGCCUUAGAAGUCCAACCUAUCGAAUCCAGUCUCAAUCAAAAAUCGGGUUAGGCUCAAAUUUCAAAUUGGGUUUGUCCAGAUUUUCUACAAGGAGCUAUGUAUGGAGAGUAUUGGAGAUUUAUAAGGAAAAGGUUUUGGCGAUACUUGGAGAAGAAAAAAGUUUUAUCACGAGGUUUUUGGUGCUGAGAUUCACAACGCUUAUUUGCUACAAAGUCAAGGUUUCCAUAACUCAAUGGACGAUCACCAACAAUCACUAUCACCUUUUUCAGUUGUUCACACAAAGAAGGUGAGUUCGUAAACUCAUUUUAACUAUAUCUUUUUAACUAUAAAUUACGAAUUGAUGUUACUAUGGGUGUGGCCUUAGUUUAUUGCUUUUACUUUCUGUUCGUGUCUAAUUUCAACUUAAGAAAGUUAUGUAUAUGUUUUUUGGGUAUGUACCUCACAUGGUUUCAGGGAUAGUUGCAUUCCCAUUUUAAAGGAUCCUGAAUUUCUAGCUUGUGCUAUUUUGGGAAAAUGUUAAUUAUAAUCUUUUACGUGUCUACAUUAUAUUGGAGUUAUUGCCUAAGGGUUUAAUUAUGCUGGUUGCACUUUAAACCAGAUGGGCUCCGAUAAUUUCAAAAGAACAAUGCUUUGUUUAAGCACACAUAGUCGGUUUAAGUUAUUGGUAAAAACUUUGCAGUGACCGAGUAUUUCUCCUUUUCUUGCAUAUAUGUGCAUUUGAUGCGACAAUCAAAUCUAAAAGGCGGUUUAUGUUUGCCACAUUUAGUUGCACAAUUUGAUUUAUCUCUGCCAUGGAAAAGAAAAAUUACUUUACAAAGGGCUUAAGGAUUAAGAAAAUGUUGUAUUGGAUUAUGUAGAAGCUAUUUGCUUAUAUCUGUGGUUGUAGUGCGGUUGAUUGGUCCUAUAAAAUAGGUCACACUAUAAGUUUUUGCAAGUUUAUUUUUGCUCAUAUAUUUGAUUCAGGUGUUCUUUAUUCACAUAGAAGGUUGGAUUAUUUUUUGACAUCAUAUGAUGUUUGAUUUAUAAGUUAUUUGGUUUCUUCUCUUGCAUAUUUCUUAUAAGGUUUAGAAUUCUAAUGUCUGCCUCUUUUCUUUUCUUUUUUGAAUAUGUGGCUAUUAUGUGCUGCUUGAGUGAAAAACAAUUUGAAGGGUAUAUUCUGAUCGAUGUAUGGUUCAUUUCAGCUAGCUAAAUUGAUCUCUUACUUAAGAGAUAAUUAGUGGGUAGUUUUACUUGGCAUAGAAAUCAAAUUUACUUUAUCUUAUUUAGCGACCUUAUCUUCCAAAUGCAAUUAAUAGAAGUAUCUUGAGUGAUUUUGGAGAUGUCAUUACUAAUAUGAAACAUAUUAUAAAGGGAUUUGGUUGAGAAGUUACCAGAGUAAUCAAUCUAAUAUUUCUUCUAAGGUUAACAUAAUCAAGGAGACUUGAGUUAGUGAAGUUGGCACAAAGAAAAAGAAGCAGGUAAGUUUGAAAAAAAUUACAAGAUUCUUGUUCUUCCUUUUCAAAGGGAGAAACCCUUCAUGUUAUAGUUUGCAAAACUUAUAUAACAUUCGUUAGUUUUCAGCUCCCUAUACCAUUUACGGAAACUAAUAUUUCAAAAUUCAACUCUCCCCUCCCACAUCCCCCCACAACCGAAAAAAAAUAGUAUAUCUUUAACUGCAUUAUGAUAUUACAAUAUCUCAGUUGCUGGAUUUGGACGGUUGCGUUCACUUUGUUGGAUUUUUUGCUUUAUGUUGUCUGUUUCUUUCUCUCUUCAGCUGCUAGCAUUACAUUCAUUAUCAAAUCAGUAAUGCUCGAGCGUUAUUUCUUUGAAGAUUCAACUAAUUGUAUCCUGUAUGUGAAUUACUGUUUAGAAGCAAAGAUGCCAGUUGUUAGAGUGUAAGUGUUCUUAACUUCUUACAUUUCAUCAUAUGCAUAUGUGACUUUUAGUUUUAUUAACACACUUUAAUUUCUUAAAAUUCCUAAUCAUUUUUAAAGCAAAAGAGGGGCAUGAAAUUGUAAAGCUGCCUAUAGACCUGCUGGUAAAUGGUGUUGGUAAAAAGAAAAUGCAAUGGAAUUAGCCAAACUAAAACGUAUUUUGGUAUAUAAUCAGAUGGAUUUUGGUCUAAAGUUCUUUUAGUAUAAAUGUUGUCUGUCUAUCUUAAACAAGUUAUCCAUUAAGUUGGCAUCAGUAAAGUUGACACGCAAAAAGAGCACAAUGAGAUGUUUUAUUUAAGAGCAACAAUAAGAAAAAAGCCACCAAUCCAAUCAGUUAUUAUUUUCGGUAUUCCAAUUGUUUCAGAGGAGGAAAGAAUUCACUUUAUUAUAAAGUUAUAUUUCUUUUUUUGUGACUUCUUGUGCAGCAUUUUUGAAGGAAGUGAUGCAUGUCAAUUGCUGGCAAUGAAAAGCUUGACUUGUGGAGAGUUGGUUUUAUAAGAUUUAGUCUAGAAGUUAAGGAAAUUAAUUCAAAUUAGGAGUGAUCCUAACGCAAUUACACGCUGAAGUUACUAUCUUUUAUGAUUUAGUUAGAUUUGAGUUUUAUGUGAGAACAAAUCAUUUGAUUUGGUAUUAUCUAUCUUGUACUAAGUACAUUUUAUAUUGCUACGUUGUUCUUUGGUUAGAGUAUUAAAAGAUAUUUGCUUUACAUUUA